rnacentral:rRNA from 1 species
UAGCCCCUACGGGACGCAGCAGUGAGGAAUAUUGGUCAAUGGGCGAGAGCCUGAACCAGCCAAGUCGCGUGAAGGAUGACGGCCCUAUGGGUUGUAAACUUCUUUUGUCAGGGAGCAAUUGGGUCCACGUGUGGGCUUAGCGAGAGUACCUGAAGAAAAAGCAUCGGCUAACUCCGUGCCAGCAGCCGCGGUAAUACGGAGGAUGCGAGCGUUAUCCGGUUUUAUUGGGUUUAAAGGGUGCGUAGGCGGAAUAUCAAGUCAGCGUUAAAAAUUCGGGGCUCAACCCCGUCGUGCCGU